UACGGAGGGUGCGAGCGUUGUCCGGAAUCACUGGGCGUAAAGGGCGCGUAGGCGGCUUCGUAAGCGUGCGGUGAAAGCCUGGGGCUCAACCCCGGGUCGGCCGUGCGAACUGCGGAGCUCGAGCACUGUAGAGGCAGGCGGAAUUCCGGGUGUAGCGGUGAAAUGCGCAGAUAUCAGGAGGAACACCAAUGGCGAAGGCAGCACUCUGGGACGUGACUGACGCUGAGACGCGAAAGCGUGGGGAGCAAACAGG
rnacentral:rRNA from 1 species